CCUCAAAUCAGGUAGGAUUACCCGCUGAACUUAAGCAUAUCAAUA
rnacentral:rRNA from 1 species